GCACCCGGGGAACUGAAACAUCUAAGUACCCGGAGGAAAAGAAAGAAACAUCGAUUUCGUGAGUAGCGGCGAGCGAAAGCGAAGGAGCCCAAACCAUCCGACUACGGUUGGAUGGGGUUGUGGGUCAGCAGAACGUACGAGGAAAUCUAGGAGAAGAGUUCUGGAAAGGACUUCCAAAGAGGGUAAGAGGCCCGUAUCCGAAAAGCAAAAUCGGCUAGCUGAUACCAGAGUACCACAGGACACGAGGAAUCCGGUGGGAAGCAGGAGGGACCACCCUCCAAGGCUAAAUACGAUCCAGUGACCGAUAGCGCAUAGUACCGUGAGGGAAAGGUGAAAAGAACCCCGGGAGGGGAGUGAAAAAGAACCUGAAACCCUGUGCUUACAAGCAGAGAGAGCACGAUUAAGUGUGAUCUCGUACUUUUUGUAGAACGGACCGGCGAGUUACGUUAUGCAGCGAGGUUAAGGACUGAAGGUCCGGAGCCGAAGCGAGAGCGAGUCUGAAUAGGGCGUAUAGUUGCAUGACGUAGACCCGAAACCGGGUGACCUAUCCAUGGGCAGGUUGAAGUGGAAGUAAAAUUUCAUGGAGGACCGAACCAGACGUCUGUUGAAAAAGGCGGGGAUGACCUGUGGAUAGCGGAGAAAUUCCAAUCGAACCCGGAGAUAGCUGGUUCUCCUCGAAAUAGCUUUAGGGCUAGCCUCGCAUUAGUUUACCGGAGGUAGAGCACUGAAUGGUCUAGGGGGCCUCACCGCCUACCGAAACCUAUCAAACUGCGAAUGCCGGAUAAAUGAUGUGCGGGAGUCAGGCCGCGAGAGAUAAGUUCCGCGGUCAAAAGGGGAACACCCCAGAUCGUCUGCUAAGGUCCCCAAGUACGCGUUAAGUGGGAAAGGAUGUUGGAUUGCACAGACAACCAGGAUGUUGGCUUAGAAGCAGCCACACAUUCAAAGAGUGCGUAAUAGCUCACUGGUCGAGUGAUCCAGCGCCGAAAAUGUAACGGGGCUAAAACGCGACACCGAAGCAGCGGGAUGCGUAAGCAUCGGUAGAGGAGCAUUGUGUGAGGAUUGAAGCCAGAGCGGGAGCACUGGUGGACUUCACAGAAGAGAGAAUGCCGGUAUGAGUAGCGAGACCCAUGCGAGAAACAUGGGCGUCGAAGGCCCAAGGUUUCCUGGGGAAGGUUCAUCCACCCAGGGUAAGUCGGGACCUAAGCCGAGGACUGAGGUCGUAGGCGAUGGACAGCAGGUAGAGAUUCCUGCACCACUUACACUUGUUUGACGAAGCAGUGACACAGAAGGAUAGGACGAGCGCGGUGAUGGUCAACCGCGUAGGCAGCACGAGGCCGGGGAGCAGUUAAGUACACUUCCCAUGAAGGCUGAGUGCUGACAGGACCGAAAAAGAGUAGGGAAGCGUCUGAGUUCACGCUGGCGAGAAAAGCUGCUAAGGAGAGUGUGAGUGCCCGUACCGGAAACCGACGCAGGUGGGCGAGGAGAGAAUCCUGAGACGGACGGGAGAACUCUUGUUAAGGAACUCGGCAAAAUGACCCCGUAACUUCGGGAGAAGGGGUGCCUCGAAAGAGGCCGCAGAGAAUAGUCACAAGCGACUGUUUAGCAAAAACACAGGUAUCUGCGAAAGCGAGAGCUGACGUAUAGGUGCUGACGCCUGCCCGGUGCUGGAAGGUUAAGGGGAAGUGUUAGGGGAAACCCGAAGCAGAGAACCGAAGCCCCAGUAAACGGCGGCCGUAACUAUAACGGUCCUAAGGUAGCGAAAUUCCUUGUCGGGUAAGUUCCGACCCG
rnacentral:rRNA from 1 species